UUACGUUAAUUGCUUUUUGAUGGCAAAGAGUUGCGGUCGUUUUACAUUCAGGGAUCUCAAAUGACUUCUUACAAAAAAGAGAUGUGCCCAUAUUAUACUGUAUCUUACUUUUCCUUUGACAGAACAGGAACGUUGGCUUCAGUGCAUCGAACUAAAAAGCAAAGAGCCUCUUCUCAUUCUCCAGGCAGUGUUUAGCUACAAGUGCGUUUGAACGAAGAUUUCAAAUGCAAGGAAUAGAUGAUUUGAGCACCGCAUUUGAAGUCUGUUGAAACCCAGUGAGCCCUCGUUACAUGUUUCCCUGUUCGCUGCCACCAUGUACCCUGGACCCCAUGCUUCUGUAUGUAAACCAAGCAGUGAUGUUUGCCUCAACAGUCUACUAUGAGCAGCAUCUCAGUUUUAUGUCACAAGUGGCAGAGCUUGGGAAAACACUGCCGUUUGCUUACUUCAAGAGAAGGCUGUCCAGAAGCAAGGAAGAUCAUCAUCCAGGUGGUGUGGCUAUUGUCUGUAGCAUCACUCCUUCAUCCCCAAAUGCUUCAGGGGUUAUCCUGAAGUUAUGUUAUGUGUUUUGGUUUUGCUCCGGCUGUUCAUACGAACCUCCUGAGGAUGGCCCAGGGGUAGCCACAAGUGACCACAACAUGGAACCAUGUUGGAGGAUCUUCACAGGUGCUGCACACCAGCACAUCUCCGAAAGUGUAAUCCACUCCCAGAACCAUUGUGGAUCUGGAAGAAGAAACUUUUUUUAUUUCAUUGAAGGCGAGGAACCCUCCUUAUUCCCCCUGACAAAACCAUUCCAUUCCCAUUGAAAUGAUAUAGAAAUGAGCCCAUUGACUUCAAAGGGAGUUGGAUUGAGCUUUCUGUGAUCAAGGACAAUAUGGCACUAAUACGUCAUGCACUAUAAUGGUGAGAUUUAAUGAUGUUGGACGGUAGUUUACUGAAAUGAACUUUAGGUAAUGACCCAAGACACAACAGUUUGGAAGCAAGGGAAGAGAAAAAGGAAACCAAGCAUACCAUGCAGUAGAUGAAUUUAACAAUAGCUAGUAUACUUGCAUCUGACAUCAGUGUCUUGGCUCAGUAGCCAGGGAUAUCAUAAAAUCACCAUGUACAAUUAGGCACAAUCUGCGAUCUGUAUUUCAUUUGAAAGCCAGAACUAACACACCACAGUUACUACAUUCAUUCUCGAGCUGGAGAGAACAUGGUCUUUCCAAGUCACAGUUGAAGCUGCUGUCUUGCGAUAGGAAAAAUCUUCUGUUUUCUGACUAAUUUUUAUAACCUUCCCUGCACCGAGUAAAUUAGUUAGAUUUACUUUUGCUUAUGGCAUUAGCUUUGGGGGAAAGACACAAAACAAAAGAAUAAAAAAAAUUUAUAAAUGCAGAAAAAUGCAUAAAAUGGGAGCUAAAGCUAUAAAUCCGAUCACCCUGCAUAUCUGGACAUGUUUGUUUGUAUUGAUUGAAGGGAAAAAAAAUGAAAUAAAUCACAUUUUAAAUUGA